GAAAUGCGAUAAGUAGUGUGAAUUGCAGAAUUCAGUGAAUCAUCGAAUCUUUGAACGCACAUUGCGCCCUUUGGUAUUCCUUAGGGCAUGCCUGUUCGAGCGUCAUCUAAACCCUCAAGCACUGCUUGGUGUUGGGUGCCUGUCCCGCCCCCCGCGCGCGGACUCACCUCAAAUCCAUUGGCGGCCCCCGCGUCGGCCACGAGCGCAGCAGAAACGCGAACUCGUGAGCCCGUCCGGGCGGCUCCCAGAAGCUACACCCACCCAGUUUGACCUCGGAUCAGGUAGGGAUACCCGCUGAACUUAAGC
rnacentral:misc_RNA from 1 species